UGGGGAAUAUUGGACAAUGGAGGCAACUCUGAUCCAGCAAUUCUGUGUGUGUGAAGAAGGUUUUAGGACUGUAAAACACUUUUAGUAGGGAAGAAAGAAAUGACGGUACCUACAGAAGAAGCGACGGCUAAAUACGUGCCAGCAGCCGCGGUAAUACGUAUGUCGCGAGCGUUAUCCGGAAUUAUUGGGCUUAAAGGGCAUCUAGGCGGUUAAACAAGUUGAAGGUGAAAACCUGUGGCUCAACCAUAGGCUUGCCUACAAAACUGUAUAACUAGAGUACUGGAAAGGUGGGUGGAACUACACGAGUAGAGAUGAAAUUCGUAGAUAUGUGUAGGAAUGCCGAUGAUGAAGAUAACUCACUGGACAGCAACUGACGCUGAAGUGCGAAAGCUAGGGGAGCAAACAGG
rnacentral:rRNA from 1 species